ensembl:lncRNA
CAGAUUCAUCCCAUCACCUAAAACCUGGUAACAGUGGGCCACACAGAGUCUUACUGGCCCAGCACCAGCAUUGAGUUUGUGUCUGACGAAUACAUUAACCUGUGGCAAUUAAACUAUUACAUGGUGAAUGCGGUUUCGUGCAAAACAAAAGCAGUGAAAACCCUCAGCGAAGAUGUCAAGCAAAACAGCCAGCACCAACAACAUCGCGCAGGCAAGGAGGACGGUGCAGCAGUUGAGGAUGGAAGCUUCCAUUGAAAGAAUAAAGGUUUCCAAGGCAUCAGCGGACCUCAUGUCCUACUGCGAGGAACAUGCCAGAAAUGACCCUCUGCUGAUGGGGAUACCAACUUCAGAAAACCCUUUCAAGGAUAAGAAAACCUGCAUCAUCUUAUAGAGGAGAAGUCAAGCAGUCCCGCCCCACGUCCCAACAAAGCAAAUUGUGAGCAGCUCCUUAAAAAGAUUUACCUUCGGCUUAUUUGGUAACCACUGCUAAUCACUAAAAUGCUCUUAGCUUGGAAUCAUCGACUCUGAAGUCUUUAUUUUCCAAGUUGUCCUUGCUCUAAAAUACCCUUUACUGAAUUAAUACAAAAUAGCAGUCUCUUUUUCCCUUUGGUAACUAGUGUGUCAUAUGGGGUGACUGCUGAAGGAAAGUUGAUCUGGCCUUUUCAAAAACACCAUUAAAAUAUAUGAGUGAUCCAGUUAAGACCCCAAUUACCUGAGCAUCCGUCUAGAUUAAAAUGCCAAGACAACUUAAGGCCUAAAACCUUUCUAUCAUCGCGUGUUCUUAAUAGGGUUGUGCCAAUCUGUACAGUAUACAUGGGUGAGGAGUGUUGUGUAUAUAUAUUUGUGUGUUUGUAUAUACACAUCUCAAAGCUUAUUUCCGUACUGAAAUGUCUCUCUCUCCAUACCAUCUGUUCCUCAGCUCCAAAGCUAUACCUUGAUCGUGAGCUGUGUGUCGGUGGAAUUAAAUUCUUUGCUUGUAGUAACUGUGCACAAAGUCAAGAACUCCCUUACGAUUGUGUGCAUUGUAAUUGAGUAAUGAAGUCAUCUCUCUCCUCUUGAAAUCUUGCUGACCUCCUAGGCUAUAAUAAACUGUGCCAAUUAAAAUGUUAAAACCUGAGCUAAAAGCCCUUUUAUAAUAGGAGGUAUGAAUUCACCAAGGGCUUUCAGGCUUCAGUGAUCCUGAGUCUAGAAAAGGGGAGGAGGCCUUUGGGUGGUACCCAGGGCCCAUAGUCUCGGGAUCAGGGGUAGACACCUCUGAAAUUUCCGCUCUCUAACCACGGGAACGAGACAGAGCAGCCUUGAGCCCGGCCGAGAGGGGAGCAGGGAUGCGUGGAAACCAGCUGCUCUCUGUGAUUUAGCUCACGUUCUCUGCCUCCCUGUAUCUUUCCUCUGCUGCCAGAACGUCUGUCUUCAGAGGUCAUCUUCACCUCCCCAAGUGGGUAGAAGGUGAUGGGGCAGAAACACCCAAUGAACGUAAAAGUAUCAAGAUACUUAGGCUCUUUUCACAAACUGGUAGCAUCAGCCCCACCCUUACCUUUUCCACGCAACAUCCAAGAGGAUUGGAUUCAUUCAGUGGUUCACUACUUGGGUCCACGGGCUCCAGCAGCUGGUGUCGGGUUCCUUGAUUUCCUCUGGGCAUGAAGCCUGCCCCCACACAUGCACAGCAUUUGCAGCGGGGAUCCCAAAAGAAGGCAUCUCCUAUGGCCAAGAGGCUAUGUUAACUUUACCAGAGAGGAAGAGAGGGUCUUUAUUUUCAAUGCUCACUUACAUUCCCAAACCGUACACUCAGCCUUUGAUGUUAAGUCAGCGUCAGCUCGUUAAAAAUAAUGAUGGAUUAAAACCUUGUUCUCAAAAAGGAGUCAACCCCAAGAAGGAGUUAUGUCCCAUGGUUUUCCCUAGUUCUGGACAAUCCAGCCCCAUGGCACAAGCCCCCCUUCUCACAUUUGGGCUUUGAGUAUUAGGCUCAUUGCAGGCAAAUGCAACACUGGUUUUAAACUGCUCAAAUAUAGUCCGUAUUUUUCCCAGUCACCUAUCUACUCAGCAUUGUGAACCACCCUGCCUCGUCCAAGACCAUGUGAAAAUCACACCACCGCCCUUACACACUUGUCACCUACCCUUUGGUUCUGCAAUACGUCCAGUUUCCAAGGAAAUCACAGGCACCUGUUGCAGAGAGAAAGGUUUGUUUUUUUUUUUCCCUCUUUCCAAAGGUGAGAUCUGAAAUGCGCAUUAAAGUGACAACUUUACAUUUAAUGCUUCACAUAAUGAGACAUGCUUUUUAAAAUAUUUUUCUAGCAGUAGUUUUAGAACACUAAUCUUAUUUUCUCUCUGAUUUUUACCAUGUUUCCUUAAAUAUUUAUAAUGCAGCUUGUUACAAAAUAUUGUCGUGAAAUUGCUUUUAUUAUACUGGUAUGCACACAUGUUUGGUAGCAAGCAUAGUUUAUCCUUUAGUCCUAAAACACGUUCUUUUACCUAACAGAAAAUAAGUAUGUUUUGCUAUAUAUUUGUUAGUAUGCUUGUAGUGCUAAGGAGUGGACUUGAGGUCCCAGGAGAGUUCACUUUUAUUUUUGCUGGCCAGAUAGAGUAAAGGCUCUGAGCACGAGCAGCUUGUAACUUCCUAACCAGGUAUAGGUCACGUUCAAGCAAAGUGAAGUGAAAUCCUUUGAUGCUGUAGCCAAGGGGGAGAAAAUUGGAGUUAAAUGUUGAUUUACUUAUAACUAGAUGUCUAUGUGAAAAAAAUAUAAUAUAUAUAUAUAUACACACAUAUAUAUAUGAUACACAGAAGUCACUUUUAUUUAUCAGGCUUUAUUCUACUCAUGAAGCCACAGUUAAACUGUUCUGCAGCAGCUGGUUUUUGAUGCUGGUGGACACGUCCAGGAUGUGUUAUUUUUUUCCCACUACCACUGUAAUGACACAUGUAAUCACUUUUGUACAUGCAGCUUCUUGGCUUCAUAGCUAUGAAGCUAUUGAAACAUGUUCACUAUCCUUAGUCUUUAAUGCUGCUUUGGUUAAAAGUGAUCUUUUUCUCUUCUGACAUCUUCAUUAGCUCAUCAUAAUGCUGUCCAUUUGAGGCCUCAGGCCCAUAGCAAGAUACGCUAAGCAGCAUUCCAUGACUCCAAAGUAUUUUACAGAAACACUUUAAAAAAAAAUAGAGAAACCCUUUGUAUAUGAGGUGGUUCACAAACUAGAGGUUGUAGUUACUUUUUUUCCUAAAAAGAAUCAGGUGUCUAACCUGUCCUUCCCGUACCAAAAUGAAAAGGGCCAUGUGUACCCUUUAAAGAAAAGACCUGAUUUGCUCUUUAUUUGCACUAUUUUUGUACUUUACUCAUCUUAAA